GUGCUUUAAACUAAUGAGUAAGGAAAAUUAUGAAUUUGGGUAAUGCCUAAUUCAUCAACGCUCAUGCGUUUGCCGGUAUAUUUAUAAGGGUACAGGCAGCCACUGGUGGCCUACCUACUUUGUAGGACGCCAGAAAGGUAGUCUUCCCU
rnacentral:snRNA from 1 species